UGAAGGGUAGAGACUGAAAGGAAAGUUUUAUUUGAUAAGUUUGAAAUUAAAUUAAAAGUAAAAAUGCUUUUAUUAUUUUUUGGGACGAGAAGACCCUAGAAGCUUACAAAUUUAAGAAUUUUUGGUUGGGGUAAUAGUUGAAGAGAUAAAUUUUUAACGGAAAAAUUUAAAUUAUAAUAAAGUUACUCUAGGGAUAACAGCAUUAUUUAAUUAGCAAGUUCUUAUUAAUAAUUAAGUUUGUGACCUCGAUGUUGAAUUAAAUGUUAUUUUUGAUGAAGAAGUUAAAUUAUAUAGUCUGUUCGACUAUUAAAUUUUUACAUGAUUUGAGUUCAAACCGGUUUAAUCCAGGUCGG
rnacentral:rRNA from 1 species